GGGUGGCUCAGUGGUUAAGGCUUUAAUUUACAGAUCAGAAGGUUGUGUGUUCAAAUCCCAGCACACCCA